rnacentral:rRNA from 1 species
ACGGGAAACCGGAGCUAAUACCGGAUAAUAUUUCGAACUGCAUGGUUCGAUAGUGAAAGAUGGUUUUGCUAUCACUUAUAGAUGGACCCGCGCCGUAUUAGCUAGUUGGUAAGGUAACGGCUUACCAAGGCGACGAUACGUAGCCGACCUGAGAGGGUGAUCGGCCACACUGGAACUGAGACACGGUCCAGACUCCUACGGGAGGCAGCAGUA